CGUUUCUUUGCUGGCGACCGGCGCACGGGUGAGUAACACGUAUCCAACCUGCCCUUUACUCGGGGAUAGCCUUUCGAAAGAAAGAUUAAUACCCGAUGGCAUAAUUAGACCGCAUGGUCUUAUUAUUAAAGAAUUUCGGUUAUCGAUGGGGAUGCGUUCCAUUAGGCAGUUGGUGAGGUAACGGCUCACCAAACCUUCGAUGGAUAGGGGUUCUGAGAGGAAGGUCCCCCACAUUGGAACUGAGACACGGUCCAA
rnacentral:rRNA from 1 species